ACACUGUCCCGGAGGGUUCUACCCCCCGCUUAGCCACCAGAGUGACGUCCCUCGGCGGAGCAGACUUUUAAAAGUUCCAAUUUUGUGCUCCGCGGCUCUAUCACUUGCCAGAAGCGGCCGACGGAGGCCCCUCCCCCGCCAUCUAUCCUCCGGAACAUCGCCUCGGAUUCACUUCUCUGCUCGUCCUACCUUCCAGAAAAUGGUCGCUUUUCUGUUUGGAGAGUUGUUGCUAUUCUUUUCUUUGAUCUCCUGUUGAGUUUCUAGGUGUUCAGAAUGGUUUGAUCCCUAUCCAGCUGAAUUCCUGAGAGGAGACGAAAUCCAGGUCUCCUACUCCUCCGCCAUCUUGCUCCGCCCCCCCCCCCCCCCAUUCCCAUAAGUUUAAUGAGAAUUACUGCUUCGGUUUACAUAAGCAGGUGCGUGUGCACACCGUGUCUGAUGCUUCUAGGCACGUGGUCCUCCAUGGUGUCUGUGUCUCGUUUUUCCUGUCGUUCCCAGAUGGGCUCCCAGUCCACAAACAGGGAUCCUAACAGGCAUGUUCUUAGUUAUUCUAACAUCUUGAAGUUGGCUGGCCCCCUGUGCCUGCUGUUGGCCAUUGUGACACGUUGCCCCUGCCUGCCCCCCACGGAUGUCAUAACAUGGGCAUGGGGACAACCUGUGCAGGGCGACUGCAGCCUGGGAGAAUGUUGGGGGCUGAUAGCCAAGCCCUCUUUCAAGAAACGCCCAUGAUUAAUGCCAUGAAGGCAACGAGGUUUGGGAAGGAUGGGUGCUGCCAACACCAAAAGCUGGUGCAUGAUUGCUGGGCCUGGGCGGGAAGGAGAGCUAGGAAGACUCCACUCCAUUUAUUUCACUAAUCUUCUUCUUCUGUGAGCCUAAGAGCAGAAAAUAAUUUUUUUUUUUUAGAUUUUAUUUAUUUGAGAGAGAGAGACAGAGAUAGUGAGAUAGAGAGCACAAGUGGGGAGUAGAGGGAGAAGCAGGAUCCCCACAGAGCAGAGAGCCCGAUGCGGGACUCGAUCCCAGGACCCUGGGAUCAUGACCUGAGCCGAAGGCAGACGCUUAACCGACUGAGCCACCCAGGUGCCCAAGCAGAAAAUAAUUUUUAAAAAGAGCUGUGUCUAAACAAAUCAAAAAGAGCCCUUUCAAUGAGUAUAAAAAUCCUAAGUGGUAAGAAAGCAUUUUGGCAUUCAUGGUGGCAAUUUGCCCUUUAUUAGGGACAUACAAGACUGGUGCUCCUCACUGUGGAGUGAGGCUUGGCUUUGGGAAAAUACUGUAGGGCCCCAGCGGGCGCCCUCACAGGGCGUGUUUGUGUCGUGGGGCCUGUAAUCUGACCAACGUGCCACAGCCCGCAUCUUCACCAACACCUGGCAUAACUCGGCUUUCUAAUUUUUGCCAGUUCAGUAUGUGUAAUGUGCUGUCUUUGUUUUAAAUAGCACUUCUCAGAUGACUAGUAUGUUCCAGCAUCUCUUCACAUACUUGUUGGUCCUUUGUUUUCUUCUUCUGCACGUUGCCUGUUCUUUCCUUUUGCCCAAUUUUCUAUUAGGUCUGCUCCCUUUUUCCUCUCGAUCUGCAGGAGUCUCUUGCACAUUCUAGCUACUAACCCAUUGCAGGCUUAGACAUUGUGAAUAUAGUCCUCCCCCCACCCCCAUCCCCUGGAGCUCUUUGGAAAUGGUGGUGGGCCUGGUCAAUUAUAGGUUCUCACUGUCAUGUGGAAAUGAUGACACUCAGCUUUCCAAAUGACCACUUGGCCAUGACCUGGCCCUUCAGUGCACCUCACCUUCUUCUAAAUCAGUUCUUCCAGGAGCUGUGUUCUGAGGGAAUGCUCAUGAGACCCACUUGCAGCUGCAGAGACCGAUGUGAUUUAACUUCGCAAUUACCUCUGUCUGCACCUCUGUGUGUCUCAAUUAAGUCAGCUAGUAUUUUCUGAAUGUCUUCAAGUAGAAAUUAGGUUCUAGGCUUUCAGGAACAAAGGAAGGAGAGCUCAGGCAUGACAGGCUUGCAGAUCCACAAAGAAUAAAGUGACAAGAUGCUCACCACCUGCUCCCAGGGCACCAAGCAGGGGUGGAGGGACAAGGAAGGCUUCCUGGAGGAGGCAGCAUUGGGAUGGUGCCUUGAGGACUGGAGGCAUUUCUUGCCUUUCUUCCUUCCAAACUGUAAAGUCCUGAGGACAGUGACCACGUUGGGCAGUUCUGCUUCUUCUGAAGAACAACCAUGACUCCCAUGUAGAGAGAGCCCCGCCCUUCCGAGGUGGCCAGGCACAAGGACAGGAGAGACUGAAGCCCACACCCAGCCCUGGGGGCUGACCUCGACUCUGCAGAGAUCACACUGAGGCUCACCGGGGCUCUCUGGGGAUCAGUGACUUUCCUAAGGUCACUCACUCAGAAAAUACACCCUCUGCACCCAGCCCCAGACUCUUCAGCGUGCUGGAGCCACCUCUGCUCUCUUGGGCAGAGCAGGCCUUCUCUUCAGUGGGGGUGACAUCUGGUGCCGAGGGUUCAGAGUCACCAAACCCCUGUCUAUCCUGAACCUGAGCACGCACAGGCCACGAGCCCCAACGCUUGGGAUGACCAUGAAGACUGAGCCUGCACUGUGGCCCUGGGGGGCGGUUCUCAGUAGGCAGGUGAGCAGUGGGGAACUUGGGGUUUGGCAGGUCCUGAGGACAGGCCCAGGAGAAAGAAUGAAUUCCAUCCCAUGUUAGUUUUCCCUUCCAAGAAGUCAGACACUCUGGAGUUUAGCAUGCAUGCUGUCUCCUCCUGUAAUAUUGUGGUAGAGAAAAAUUCAUUCAUGUUAAAAAAAAAGUUUCAAAAGAUACACAUUGAUAGAAAACACAUUGCUGGGAAUAAAAAGAAAGUAAUGAAUAACAUUCCACAUAAUAGUGACUAAAAGCAAAAUAGUCUUCAGUUGAGGUUACAAGUUGAGUUCAAAUUGAAGGUGCUUUGUAAUACUGUUAAAAGAGCUGUCCUUUCCAAGGGGGAAAAUACUGUACUGUAUUUUAUCACAGGGUCCAAAGAGGGGGAAAUUAAACAGGAGGAAGGGAGGACAGGGAUGGCAGGCGGGUGGACGGAGCAUGUGCCUGGGUCCAUGCGCUGCUGAUUUCAGACAGAAGCCACUGCAGAAAUGCAGGGUUUGACCCAGAGGGACAGUUCUUAUUCACAGUCACCUGCUUCAUCUCUGCCCUCGCACUUCUUCUGAUGCCGAAGGGAGCACCUCUAACCUGACCUCAUGGGCUGACUCUGGGACCUUCCGGCUCACUCCUUACGUGGCUGGGCCGGUGGUGCUGUCCUGGGCUGUGGGAGGCUGGGGCACAUGUCCCAUCUCUAGUUCCCUAUGAGCCUCGUGCUGCAUGUGUCACUUCUGGCCUUGCUUGGUGCCCCUCCCAGGUCGGCCUGGACAUCUCCAUCAUGCAGCCUCCAGGGGGCCCCACUGUGGGGCUGGUUUUGAGUAAGGCUGUGUGGCAAAGCCUAUUCUAUACUUCCCUCACCCUUGCUCACCUUCCAUGCUAGAGGCUCAAAAAUCCUGUUAUUCCCUUUGCCGGACUCCCUUUUGUCAUAUGUAAGGCAGUGGUCCUAUGUUCUAGUUUGGGAUUAUGAGAUGAACAAGAAAACUUCUGGGAAAGAUCUUCCUCUCUGACAAGAAGAGAGAGGUAUAUAUGAGGAGUUCCUUUGGCUAGAGUCUCCUUUUUUGCUUCUUGGUGUGGAUGCUGCAGUGUGAACAUGUAAUGCUUGGGGCAAUGGCAGCCUUCUUGCAACCAUGAGGGAUAAGUCUAAAAACAAGAGCCAAUUCACUGAGUGUGCUGAAUCCCACGCUUGGGGUAGACAUGCCUCCUAAAUUUCUGCCCUCAUGGAACUUGCAUGCGUCCUUGUAGGGGAGAUGGGAAGUAAGCAGCCCCCUGGCCCCCGCCCAUCAUCCAAUUUUUUCCCCUCUCUGUAAAUUUGAUGCAGUUGAACACGGAAACAUUGGAAUCCUCACAUUGAAAGGAGACUAGCCACAGGGUGGAAGGAGCCUGGGUCCCUGAGUCAUACUUUGGAGAGGAGACACCUGCCAGCCAGAACCCUGCUUUGGGCUUUACAGGAAUGAGCCAUAAACCUCUAUUAUACUGGAGCCAUGAGUCACUUGUGAGUUUGCUUUUGCUUGCUGCUAGGAUUUCUUUAACUAAUAGAGUCUUCUUGGAGUUUACCCUAUUUCCAGUCUUAUACUUGAAGGAAGUAAAAUAUUUCCUUUGAGAUCAAGGCAGUUCAAGGUGGAGUUUUGGUUUAUUACAACCCUUAGCAUCCCAAGUGAUUGGAUUGUUAGGGUCUUCCCUUAAGACCUGUGGGGAGUGAUCUUAGCGAGUAGUCCUGGGAAACUGGAGGUCUCCUGCCACCCUCCCUCCACCCCGACCCUAACACUCUGAGUCAAGGGUGGCAUUUGAAAAGCAAAACACAAGUCCUUGUGGUCUCAGUGAAGGGCGUGGCAACAAAAGGGCAGGACAGGAAGCUUGGGCGAGGUGGCUUAGAGUGGCUGGUGGGGCAUGGCAGAGUGCCUCUAGAAUCAGUGUCCAACUCUUGGUUUCAGCUCAGGUUAUGGUCUCAGGGUUGUGAGAUCGAGCCCCGUGUUGGGCUCCAUGCUCAGCAGGGAGUCUGCUUGAGAUUCUCUCCCUCUGUGCUCCCCCAAUCCUGAUUGCACGUUCGCUCACUUGCUCUCUCUCAAAUAAAUAAAUAAAUAAAAUCUUAAAAAAAAGACCAUCCCCUCAAGCCCCAGUCAGCCCAGGAAGCACCAGAUUUUCCUAAAGCUCAGACGGAUUCCUGGCAUUGCCUGGUGUACAUCCCUAUUCAGGCUUCAAGGGCGACAAGGUGUUGGUUUGCUUCCUGCUGGUGCAGAAGCCACUCCUCCCCAGCUUCUCUGGCCACCUGAGCCAGCUCUGUUCCUGCCGCAGGUCUGGCUCAUCUUAAAUCCUUCAGGGGCUCUCCAGGCAGAGGUGGUCAACCCCGGAGGGCGUGGACUGGCUUGGGAGGGUCUGGAGGCCUGUGACUUCGCGUCCCUCUUCUCAUCAACUUAGAGUUUGUGCCCAAUUGCACUUUUUGUAGGUGGUCACUGCAGUUUCUCCUGUCCCUGUGCUCUUCUAGAAUGUUGCCCCCUUCCUUCCAGAGGUGAAGUCUGAUUCCCUUCCCCUGGAAGCUGGCUGGGCUUGUGUCUUUUUUCCUUAGAGCCGCAACAAAAUUACCGUGAACUGGGUGACUGAAAACAACAGAAAUUUAUUCCCUCACUGCUCAAGGUGUUGGCAGGACCAUGCUCUCUCUGCGGGGCCCGGGGAGGAGUCUUCCUUGCCUCUUCCUAGCCUCUGGUGGCUGCCGGCAGGCCUUGACCUUCCUCGUAGCGGCCUUGCUCCAGGCCCUGCCUCCACGUUCGCAUGGCCUUCUCCCACUGUGUCCCCUCUGUCCCUCUGUCUGAUUCUCCCUCUCCUUUACAGACACCAGUCAUACUGGCCCGAGGGCCCAACCUACUCCCGUAUGACCUCAUCUACCUGAUUCUGCAACGAGCCUAUUUCUAAAUAAGGUGACCUUCUGGUGGCUUUUGCGGGGACCCUCUUCAAGCGGGUACAGUUCGUGACUUGAAGGAGGCAGUGGAAGUGAUGUGCUGCCCGGUCGUCCACCUUCCAGCUUGUCGGCUGGAUUGCUCAUGCUGGAGCCCUGUGCCAUCCCCAUGACGAUGGGAGCGGCAUGGCUGCCCGCGCAAGCCCAGACCUGUCCACGUGCACAGACCUCCCGGAGAAGGCUUGAGAUCAUGAAGAAGAGAGAGAGAAAUGCCCUGCUGGCCCCAGAGGCUCCAGCCCUCCGCCAUUCCAGCUCCAGCCACUGCCAUCUGACUGUAGCUGCACCAUCGGUCCCCUUGGCCCCACCGUCCAGCUGAGCACUCCCAAAUUCCUGGCCUGCAGAACCAGUGGCAGACAAUGUCAGGGGCUGAAUUUUGCGCCUUCCUCCAAGUGUGUUUGUGGCAGCCCCGACCCCUGGAUGUUAGAAUGUGACAGUCUUUGGAGUUAGGGCCUUUAAAGAGAAAAUUAAGGUUAAAUGAGAUGCUAAGGGUGGGUGGGCCCUAACCCAGUCUGGCUGGUGUCUUGAUAAGAAGGGGAGAGACACCAGGGAUGUAGAUGCACAGAGAGAAGGUAGCCGGUAGCUGUCUGCAAGCCAAAGAGAGGGCUUGGGAGAAACCAACCUUGCCAGCACCUUGAUCUUGGACUUCUACCCUCCGGGACUGUGAGAAAUAAAUUUCUGUUGGUUAAGCCGCUCAGGGUGUGGUGAGCUGCUGAGAUAGCAGCCUGAGCAAAGUAGCCUCCGCAGAAGGUGAUCGUCGUCGUUUUAGGCUGCUACGUUUUGGGGGCAUUUGUUACGCAGCAAGGGUAACUGACAGACUAUAUAGAAGCAAGAGGAGCUAAGGGGAAACUCUCGGUGAUCCGGGGUUCUGCUCCUGGCUCUGCCAUCACUGCCAAUUCUUCUCUCCUCUCGGGGACUUGGUGUCCCUCUCUGUAGAGAACGGGCACAUCACAUGACGUGUAAGGUCUCUCACAGAUCUGUGAGGCCCUGACUUUCUGGAUGAGCCCUGGGAAGGAGUGAGUUCAACAGGGAACCAGAUUUGCGGCCUUGUUCCUGGAGACUUGGCUGGUUCAGAAGACGUUUGCCGAGAGUCAGUAACCUAAGAAUGACACCUACUGCUUGAGAAGCUCAUUUCGUGUCAGAUCUGCAGCGAUCUACGUACAUUAUCCCGUUAAAUUAAACCGUCACAAUCACACCACAGGGAAGGGGUUCUUUUUAUGGCUAAGACAGCCGAGCAGAGAAGUCCGGUGACCUGCCCAAGGUCACACAAGGAGUACGUGAGGGACCAGGGUCCUGACCACAGUCUGUCUGACUCCCAGGUUCACCUUGUGUCCUCAAGUUGACACUUAGGGCCAAGGUGGGCGAGUUUCAUCUGUCGCCCCCAUUAAAGCGGUUCCUCUGCCUGCAGGUGGUUUCGUCAGCCUCACCCGCACAUUAAACUGGCCGUCCCCACCGCCGCCGACUCUCCCAGAUGGAGGGGCAGACACAGGAUCAGGCGACUGUCCAGCCAUCUGUGCGGGGACGGGGAAUUUAUUGAGUGUCAACUGUGCUCCCGACUAGUGCACAAGACCAGAAAUCCUCCCCUUCCGUGGGGGAGGCGGACCAUGGACAAGUGAGCAGAAGGAACCAGCCUUACCAACACCUGGAUCUCCAACCUCUGGCCUCUGGGACCAGAAGACAAUACAUUUCCAUUGUUAGAAGCCGCGGUGUGUGGGACUUGGCUAGAACAGUGGUAACUGACCAGUACAUCUGGGGACCUGCCCCACCUGCCAAGGAGGGAAAUGUCGUCACGGUGGUGACUUGACUUGGAGCAUCUUGCCUAACACACACACACAGGCUGGGCCCUUGGUGGAUGGUUUGUAAGGGCCCAACGCUAACUCAUUUCUCAAGACAUGUGGCAUGUGGGCCAACGGGCGCCCAGAGGGGGAAAUGACAGACCCAUGACUGCACAGCACAGAAUGAGGGGACACAGCAUCGUUCUCCCCAGCUGCCGCUGUUUGUCUCCUAGUGUCUCACGGGCUGUGUGUCGGCCCCUUCCUUCCUCCCAUGAGGGGGAAGCCACCUGGGGAGGCCACUAUGCCAAGGUCAGAGUUGCUGGUGCACAGAAACGGCUGGGUCAGGUGGGUAGGUUUGCUAGUUCCUGGCAGUUACGAUGUGACAGCCCACUCUGAAUGGAGGGUCCCAUGUCGGCUGGCCUGCUGCAAUGGCCAGACAGGGUGUAUUCAUUUCCCGUGGCUUCCACCACAACUUACCACAGACUGGGUGUCUUAAAAUGAUGAGAAUUGGGCGCCUGGGUGGCUCAGUUGGUUAAGCGACUGCCUUCGGCUCAGGUCAUGAUCCUGGAGUCCCGGGAUCGAGUCCCCGCAUCGGGCUCCCUGCUCGGCAGGGAGUCUGCUUCUCCCUCUGACCCUCCCCCCUCUCAUGUGCUCUCUCUCAUUCUCUCUCUCUCAAAUAAAUGAAUGAAAUCUUAAAAAAAAAAAAAAAGAUGAGAAUUUGUUCUCAUGGUCCUAGAGGCUAGAAGUCCUAAAUCAAGGUGUCAGCAGGGUCCAGGCUCCCUACGAAGGCUCUGGGGGAGGGCCGCCUCUUGUCUUCCAGACUCUGGGGGCUCUUGGCCUUCCCUGCCUUGGGGUGACAUCUCUCCGGUCUCUCUCUGUCUGCACAUGUGGUCCUCUUCCCCGUGCCUCACUGGGUCUUGGGCCUCUCCCUCAGCCUUUCUCUUAUAAGGACCCCAAUCUCUUAUAAGGACUCUCAGUAUGAUCUCAUACUGAGAGUCUCAACCUAAUUACAUCUAUGAGGACCCCUAAUUCUAAGUAAGUUUCCAUUCAUGGGUUCUGGGGGUUAGGACUUAGACAUGGCUUUGGGGACACAAUUCAGGCCACCACACAGGGCGUGGACCCUUGCCCCUGAGUCCAUUCGAUGUCCAGUCAUACUGCCUGCACCCUCCUGAAACAGGGACAAGAAGGAGCUGGUCGUGAGUCACUUAGAGGAACUCUUAUGGCCCCUGAGGAGAAGGACUGUUUGUGGUUCCCUGAGGCCCCCUACACAACCCUCCACCUGCCUUCCCCGCCCCUCCGUGAUUCGGGGGCAGCCUCUUAGACUGGUCUGGAACAGCCCCGUCUUCUCUAACCCUGAGGUCCCCAGACUGCCUCAGCUCAUGGCUCCCUCCGUGUCUCAGGACUCCUUCACAAACUCUUCCACCAAAGAAAUACCCAAUGGUUCUGUUUAUUAAGUAUUAGGUCCAGACAACCUGAUACAUAUUCAUGUCCUAACAACUUAGUAACCAUUUGAAAGAACUAACAAAUGUAAAUUAAAAAAAUGUAUUCUUGUUUUAUUCUUAAAUAAUCACAAAUGCUUCCUAACGGGCUUUGUGCCCCGUCGCGCCCUGCACCACAUGCCGAGCCCUGUGGGCACCAAGUUUGCAUCCCCUAGUUAUUUGCGAAGCAGAACAUCUUUUUAUAAGCUUGUGGCCUCUUGGUGUUUCUUCUUUCGUGGAAACCCUGUUCAAAGUCUUCCCUCUUGGAUCGUUUGUCUUUUCCUCACUGAUUUGUAGAUGUUCUUUAUAUACGUUCUGAUUCUCUCCUUUGGCUGGUCAUAUGGCUGGUCAAAUACCUUCUCCCAAUGUGCUUUGUCUUUUCACAUUCUGAUGGCUGCCAUGUCAAAUCCGAAUGCAGUCUGCAUUCGUUCUUCCCACACUUGCCCCCAUGAUCAGGUUGUCCUCGUGCUAAAGCCCCUCCGCCCUGACUCUUCCCCACCUCUCCCAGCUGUCUGGUUCCUCCCUCCUUGUGGCCCACUCCGCCCUGGACACCCUGGGGUUGUUUGGUUUCUGGAGGCCCCCAGCUCAUUUUCAUCUAUGACGCGUGCACAGUGCUGCACCCCCCGGCUCCCCACCCCCGGUUCCCUCUCCCCUGGAUCCGCUCCUCUGGGAACUCACCUCUGCCCACAUCCUCCUCCUAACCGGCUCAGCCCUUCACCCUCUACUGCAGCCCCCGGUGACUCCAGGCUUCUGUGUCAUCAUAGUUUGUCACCAUCCUCGUGAUUAAUGUUGCUUAUUUACUUGUUUUCCAAGGCGUGUCUCCUCCAUCAGCUCCAGGACAAGGGACCAUUUUGUCUGCCCACUGCUCUUUCCCCAGUGCCCAGCAUGUAGCCAGUGUUUGCCCUGGGCCCCUGGCACAGCCCGCCCACCCCCCACCACCACUGGGACCAGUUGCCCAGGGGCAGCCCUGAGCCCCUGUGUCCUGCAGGGUUCUCAGCCUCCAAGCCAGUCAGUCCCAUCCCACACCUGGGCACACAACUGAAAUACAUCGACUCACUUGUUGCCAAGGGGGAGGAACAGGCAGCCCUGGGCCCCGUGCUCUGCAUGUCUGAGGCCUGGCAGGGGAGACCUCCGCCGGGGGCGGGCUGGUGGCAGGGAGGGGUGAUUGCAUGCCCCCCCACAGGAGGAGAUGGGUUGGCUGGGGGUACAUUUGCAUGAGAACUAGGCAUAAGGGGGAAAUGAGCAGGGGGAGCAGUUGUCCAAUUGGAGGUCUGGGAUUUGUCUUCAGCAAAUUUUCUCUGAUUUCCCCAAACACUUGAAAUUAAUUAGGUGGACCGGAGCCUUUGCGAGCCUCUCUCGGUUGGAGUCUCACCCCUGCCAGGGUUGAGUUUGGCAAGCCUACUGCAGGAGGCCUGGAUUUCUCACGCUGCCCCAGUCUGUCUUGUGCGUCUGCCGGCUCCUCACUACACUUCUGUUGAGCUGGAGGGAGCCUCCUAUGUAAGGCUUCCUGUAUGUGCGCACCUGCCAAAUGCACAGCUGUUGGGUGAUUCUAGGCUCCUGUCCUUCUGGGGCCAGAGGGCUGGGCUGUGUCCCUGGUGGGAGCGGCUGUUCCCACUGUCAGGCAUCCUGCAGAGAGGCGGGGACAUGAGGGCUGGAGAGGUGGACUGCCCACUGAGGUAUUUGCUCUCCCUGAGCUUUCUGGGAGGUCGGGCUGGACUUGGAGGUCGUGCACUCCCCUGGUGUGGGCUGGGUGGCCCCUGGGCUUGCAGAUGGGAGCGGCACUCAGCAAGGCUCGUGGCACCGAGAUCCCGCUACCUCGCAGCAGAUGUUCAGUUGUCUCUGUUUUGCCUGGGGCUUUCCUGACACCUCGAAAGAGUGGAAAACCUGGAAUUAGCUGUGUCGGAUGGAAUCAAAGCAGGAGCCCCUCCCCAAGGCCAGAGGGCACCGUGAGCAGUGACCACCAGGGGAAAAAGUCUGCCUGCAGGAAAGUGACCUCCUUAGUGCUAUUGGCAGUCACAGUUGUGACAUGGUGGCUUCCUGUGAGCCCCAAAGAGGCAUGACACAGCAGCCGGAAGCUGGUCAGAAAUGCUGGGGCAAGCUCAUGGCGCACACGUGUGUGCGUGUGCGUGCGUGUGCGUGUGUACAAGUUCCUCCAUGUGUAUGUGCCGGCUCAAAGUCGAUUUUAACGAAGGUUUUUACAAAAUAAUUUAGAGGUUUUUUGGAACAGGUCACGCGUUUCCAGUGGUUCCACAUUCAAGAGGUGGAGAAGAAUAGCAGUGAAGUUUGCCCUCCCCUCCAAUUUGUCAGCCAUGCAUCCUCUUCUUAAAGACAAGCAAUGUCCCCAGCCUCCUGUGUCAGAAACAUUUGACGAGUGUACAGUCACUUGUAUAUAUCCCCUCUUACCUGAUGGCAGCAUUCUGUACCUUCUGCUCUGCGCUUUAAUUUUUUCGUCAUAUAUUUUGAGAUGAUUUCAUAUUAAUGUGAGGCCAUCAUAUAUAUUGAGAUCGUCAUAUAUAUUGAGAUGAUCUCAUAUUGAUGUUGAUGUGUAAGGGCUUUCUUUUUCGGAUUAAAAUAGAGUCUAUUGGUGAGUCUAGCAAUCAACUUCAUCAGCUCCCUGUUGCAACGUUUAGGCUGUGUCUUAUCUUUUGUCAUGAUACAGUGGGCAUUGAAUGCAAGAGUGACCCUGUUUUGUCAGUACAGGGUAGGCUGUGGCAGAGCCAGUGAAUCUCACCUAAUAAUCCGUCCGUCUUCCCACCCGCCCCAGCUCCCUUGCAGCUAGGCGUGGUCAUGUGACCAUUCUGUCCCAGGGGCUGUGAGUAGAGCCAUGUGAGCGACUUGGAGCAGAGGCCCUGAAAAGCCCUGGAUUCCCUAAUCUCUUUCCCUCCACCAUGGCGACUGAAAAGGUGGAAUGUUCUGGAUGGUGAAACGACACGAGGGUGGAGCCUCUGUCAGCCUGGGUCCCUGAGGGACCCUGUGGAGCAGAGUCUCCUGCAGACCCACAGUGAACAUCGUGAUAUUUUACAUGAGCAAAAUCAGACACUAAGGAUUUAGGUGGUUUGCUUUGGCCUAAUUCACAGCGAGGACCAAUAUACAGGUAUUUGUGACAUCGAAUUUAAUAAGUGACUUUUAAAUGAAUGGUUUAUCAAGCAGUUUCCCAGAGAGGCUCCUUGGAACCCAUGGAGCUGCGGAUGCAGACAGGAAUUCUUAGAGCCGCCCUGGGCAUCUGCAUCUUCCUGCCACCCCAGGUGGAGUAUGGUCCUUAAAUGACCCCUUGCCACCAGACCUCUCAUCCCCAGCCGAGAGCACCUAAGUGUUGUGCACCCUGUCCUCUUCUCUCUCCCUUUGAUCCCAGGGGAGCUCUGAGGUCUUGCCAAGAAAUUCAGUUGUACUAGACUCAAACAUCACAGGAGGGCGUAUAUAAUUGUGAACACCCAGAAAUAAUCUAAAUGCCCAAAAUAGGGAAUAUAGUCAGUAAUUUAUGACAUGAGUUGAAACAGCCACUAAAAAUGAGGUCAAAGAAAAAAAAUAAAGGAACAGGUCCAUGAGAUUUUUAUUAAGAGAAAAAAUAAAGCAAUUACAAACUAGUACUUAAUGUGUAAUCCCACUUACCAAUAUAGAUCUCUGUGUAGAAAAUGUGUACUAUAGGAACUCGCAAACCCUGUCCCUUGGGUCCUCUCCAGUUUUGCUGAAAUACAGUCUUUGAUUACAGUUCUCUUCCUCUCUUGCAUCUUCAAUUCCCACCAAUGUGCUGAGGGCUCCCCACCGGGCUCCUCGCUAAGAUUUCAGCAUUUGCCAAAUGGUCACUCCAUCCCUGCCUUCUCACACCUGCUCUUCCUCUGUGCUGCAGUCUUGGCCACUGGUUCUGCCAUUCCACCAUACACUGGGGGAUCAUCCAGGGUCUCUCCAUUUUAGAAAUCUAACCAGUUAACCAAUUUCUUUGGUCAUUUCUCUCUAACAUCCCUUCUAUCUGUCCCCACUCUGGAUCACUUUCAGCACCUUGUCUUGGCCCUUACUUACUAUUUCAUACCUGAAAGAUUACAGCAGCCUCCUCCCUGGUCACCUGCCUCCAUUCUCAUCUGUCUCCAUUGAUUGCACACACUGACACCACCAUGCAGACCUGGCCACUCACUCUCAGCUUGAAACCUUCCAAUAGUUACUGACCACCUUGGUCAGUCUAAGCUCUUACAUGACAUUUGAGCUGAUCCAGCCAUACCUGUGGACUCUUCACUUCUUGUCUUACCUCGGUGCCCACCCAUUCAUCCCCCCAUCCAUCCAUCCAUCCCCCCACCCAUCCAUCCAUCCCCCUUCCAUCCAUCUCCCCACCCAUCCAUCCCCCCAC